rnacentral:rRNA from 1 species
GACGAACGCUGGCGGCGUGCUUAACACAUGCAAGUCGAACGGACAGGUCCUGCUUUUGUGGGGUUCUCGAGUGGCGAACGGGUGUGUAACACGUGAGUAACCUGCCCCUGACUUUGGGAUAACUCCACGAAACUGCGGCUCUUACCGGAUAUGAGCUCUUGCUGCACGUUGUGGUAUGGUGAGAUAUGGCGGUUCUGGCUGGACUCGCUGCUCAUCCGCUUGUUGGUGAGGUUGUGGCUUACCAAGGCUUUGACGGCUAGGCUGCCUAAGAGGGUGGCCGGGCACAAUGGGACUGAGGGACGGCGCAGUAGGCUACCGGACGCAGUGGGGGGAAGUCUUGCAGAAUGAGGCGAAGCCUGAGACAGCAAGGCCCGGUGCGGGAAGACGGGCUUUGGGUUGUAAACCGCUUUCGACGGUGACGAAGCGUGAGUGACGGUAAUGGGUAAAGAAGCACCGGCUAACUACGUG